GACGAACGCUGGCGGCGUGCCUAAUACAUGCAAGUAGAACGCAGUUGCGAACGGGUGAGUAACGCGUAGGUAACUGCCUCAUAGCGGGGGAUAACUAUUGGAAACGAUAGCUAAUACCGCAUACUGUGAGAUGGACCUGCGUUGUAUUAGCUAGUUGGUGAGGUAAAGGCUCACCAAGGCGACGAUACAUAGCCGACCUGAGAGGGUGUACGGCCACCCCGUGACUGGCAAAAGGCCCAGACUCCUACGGGAGGCAGCAGUAGGUAAUCUUCGGCAAUGGACGGAAGUCUGACCGAGCAACGCCGCGUGAGUGAAGAAGGUUUGCGGAUCGUAAAGCUCUUUUCUUAGAGAAGCGGUAAGAAAACAGAAAGGGACGGCUAACUACCUGCCAGCAGCCGCGGUAAUAC
rnacentral:rRNA from 1 species